AUGAACGCUAGCUACAGGCUUAACACAUGCAAGUCGAGGGGCAGCAUGGUCUUAGCUUGCUAAGGCCGAUGGCGACCGGCGCACGGGUGAGUAACACGUAUCCAACCUGCCGUCUACUCUUGGACAGCCUUCUGAAAGGAAGAUUAAUACAAGAUGGCAUCAUGAGUCCGCAUGUUCACAUGAUUAAAGGUAUUCCGGUAGACGAUGGGGAUGCGUUCCAUUAGAUAGUAGGCGGGGUAACGGCCCACCUAGUCUUCGAUGGAUAGGGGUUCUGAGAGGAAGGUCCCCCACAUUGGAACUGAGACACGGUCCAAACUCCUACGGGAGGCAGCAGUGAGGAAUAUUGGUCAAUGGGCGAGAGCCUGAACCAGCCAAGUAGCGUGAAGGAUGACUGCCCUAUGGGUUGUAAACUUCUUUUAUAAAGGAAUAAAGUCGGGUAUGCAUACCCGUUUGCAUGUACUUUAUGAAUAAGGAUCGGCUAACUCCGUGCCAGCAGCCGCGGUAAUACGGAGGAUCCGAGCGUUAUCCGGAUUUAUUGGGUUUAAAGGGAGCGUAGAUGGAUGUUUAAGUCAGUUGUGAAAGUUUGCGGCUCAACCGUAAAAUUGCAGUUGAUACUGGAUAUCUUGAGUGCAGUUGAGGCAGGCGGAAUUCGUGGUGUAGCGGUGAAAUGCUUAGAUAUCACGAAGAACUCCGAUUGCGAAGGCAGCCUGCUAAGCUGCAACUGACAUUGAGGCUCGAAAGUGUGGGUAUCAAACAGGAUUAGAUACCCUGGUAGUCCACACGGUAAACGAUGAAUACUCGCUGUUUGCGAUAUACGGCAAGCGGCCAAGCGAAAGCGUUAAGUAUUCCACCUGGGGAGUACGCCGGCAACGGUGAAACUCAAAGGAAUUGACGGGGGCCCGCACAAGCGGAGGAACAUGUGGUUUAAUUCGAUGAUACGCGAGGAACCUUACCCGGGCUUAAAUUGCAGAUGAAUUACGGUGAAAGCCGUAAGCCGCAAGGCAUCUGUGAAGGUGCUGCAUGGUUGUCGUCAGCUCGUGCCGUGAGGUGUCGGCUUAAGUGCCAUAACGAGCGCAACCCUUGUUGUCAGUUACUAACAGGUCAUGCUGAGGACUCUGACAAGACUGCCAUCGUAAGAUGUGAGGAAGGUGGGGAUGACGUCAAAUCAGCACGGCCCUUACGUCCGGGGCUACACACGUGUUACAAUGGGGGGUACAGAGGGCCGCUACCACGCGAGUGGAUGCCAAUCCCCAAAACCUCUCUCAGUUCGGACUGGAGUCUGCAACCCGACUCCACGAAGCUGGAUUCGCUAGUAAUCGCGCAUCAGCCACGGCGCGGUGAAUACGUUCCCGGGCCUUGUACACACCGCCCGUCACACCAUGAGAGUUGGGGAUACCCGAAGCCUGUGAGCCAACAGUUAAAUGAGGCAGCAGUCGAAGGUAGAAUCAAUGAUUGGGGUG
rnacentral:rRNA from 1 species